rnacentral:rRNA from 1 species
GACGUAGGGCGCGAGCGUUGUCCGGAUUUAUUGGGCGUAAAGAGCUCGUAGGCGGCUUGUUGCGUCAGCUGUGAAAACCCGCAGCUCAACUGUGGGCUUGCAGCUGAUACGGGCAGGCUUGAGUUCGGUAGGGGAGACUGGAAUUCCGGGUGUAGUGGUGAAAUGCGUAGAGAUCCGGAGGAACACCAGUGGCGAAGGCGACACGCUGGGCCGUACCUGACACUGAUGCGCGACAGCAUGGGGGGCAAACAGG